GCAGACGUGACCUCUCCAGAUAAACUGACACGGUUAGCUGGUCGUGGGACUAACUUGCUGGGAAAAAAACCUUCCCACCUCCUCAUUCAGGCGAUGGGAGCCGUUCGAGAUUCGACGGUGAAUACUUCAUGGUGAGCGGCGGCUGCUGGGCUCGAGGGUGCGGUGGUUGACGGGCAGGCAAGCGCGGGCUGCGUGGUGAGCGGCGCCUCGCAUCAAUGUUGGCGGCGCUGCCGAUUCAAGGGGGCGGCGAGCGGCGGUGCUGUGGUGGGUGACCGUGGCUUGUGUGCCUCCCUUUGCCAACACCGACAACAUUUUCGCUAGAUCUGGCUUUAAUUUGGUUGGAUGUGUACAGGUGAAGAGAGCACUGGCGGAGUUUUUGCGGAGGCUGCAGACUGGACAGAUCACGACUGUACGUCCUGCCCGAAGAGGUAAUCCGAUUCUUGUUUGUCUUAGGAAAAAUUUCAGAUUCUUGUUUGUUUUCUAUCUCCAAAUAGUUUGGGCGAAUGUAUUUUUAGCCUGGGAAUUUUCUCUCUGCUGUCUGUUCCAGUCCAUCAGUCCAUGUUGAGAUCAAUCAUUGAGAUGGAGCAGCGCUUGUGUAGAAUUUUUUUGCUCUGUGAUUGGAAGCAUCAAAUGCUCCGUAAUGGCUAAGAUUUUGUCACGUAGAAGUAAGGUGAUGUAGGGAGAUUAUUUGGUUUGUUGUUUAAAGUGCUUAAGCUCUGGGUCCAUGAUGAAGAUUUGUAGUUUUGUUUUAGUCAGCUAGGCCUAGGGUAAACCAUUCAACUUUUUACAUGUUUCGAAUUUAAUUAACAAUAUUGGUUUGAAUGGGUUUGGAGUUUAGGCUCAUUGUUUCAGGAAAUGCACAUAUGAGGAAUUGAUUUUAGUUAGCUUUUCUGUGGAUAUUAGUAUGUAUUUUUCUUAGGACCACUCUAAUUUUUGCAAUAAGAUGGGGGUUCGCAGUAUAGUGUCGUUGGUGUUCAUCGGCGUCAGGUUACGGUGGCCAUUGGCAUGCUUCUUGAUGCAGUCUGCAUCUCCUCCCACCACGAUGGUCGGCAACCAUGUCUUCACCGCCGGAGCCCCUCUCCAUCGAUUUAGAUGAGUGUAUGUCAAUUUAUUCUCCCAUGGCAAGUACUUGCUCCAAUUUGGUUACAUUUAGUACGGAAUUUAGUUAUCUGAAUUUACAUAUAUUACGUCCCCAUAUAUGCAGAGGCGAAUCAUUGUGUUUUCGGCUUUGAUCUUAGUCCCAAAUUUAUUUGUUUUGGCCAUAUCUAUGCUACAAGCUUAGUACUUGUUUCGAGCCGAGGCGUACGAUGCUGCCCACCUAUCCCUUUCCAUACACGACCAUCAGCGACACCGUCGACUAUGACGGUGGAUGCUUUGUUCUCUUGUAAGGAUACCUGCAUCCUCCUCCUCUUCCUCUUCCUUGUACGGAAAUCUAGGUUUAUGAGAUUUCAUUCCAUCUCUGCCAGAUUCUCCUCCUCUCAGUUCUUGUGUUGUGUUAUGUUAUGUUAGGUGAUUUAAAAAUUGAGGAAAGGACCUUCACUAUGUAGUAGUAAUGUGCAUCUGUUGAAGCUUACUGGCGCAACCUAUUCACAUAUGUGCACUGUAGCUUUUCAAGCUAAAGUUGUCUACACAAGUAUGGAAAGGACCUUCACUAUGUUGCGUGGUUUUCUUCAUGACUGUUACUGGUACAUAAAUGAAUAAACACCUAUUUUCUAUAAAAGCUUAAUAAUUGCCAGUUGCAAUGUCAACCAGAAAAUGCAUCAUAAUCUUACAUGCUUGGUAUUCAGAAAUAAUCAGUCUUGCUUAAAAAUCAGUAAAUAUGAAAAAGAAACAAGGUUAAAGGCGGAAGAUCCCUCCUUCAACUUUAUGUUAUUAUGGAGAAGCGAGUUCUAUUUGUGUGCAUUGUACCAUGGGAGAGUUCUCAAAAUCAGUAAAUAUGCCCAUCUGCUUGCCUAUAAAAUAUUUGUUCACAUCACGUCUGUUUUGUGGUUUCCUGAGGUUGCUUUCUUGGAACACGGCGCUGUUAUUAUGUUUUAUGUUGCAGUGUUAUUCAUUAUCUUUAUUUUGUUGUGGAUGACAGUACACCCUGUUUCUCAAAAGCUGAAUCUCAUCUUCUCUGUCCAACUGAAUUUUAUUAUUGAACAUUCGCAUUGUCCCUGAACGUCCCAACUAGAAUGAGGGAAAAGGUAAAACUGUAGCAUCUUCUUUCAUGUAUAACUUUGUAAUUAUUUAUUUCAUCUUAGUUUGUACUUUCUAAAUAUUAUAUAGCUGAUUCUCAGUAUAUUCCCCACAUGAUGUCGUGUUGAACAAAGGGUUCAGAAUGGAAACUAAGUUUCUUCAAGUACGAGCAUGGGUUUCAUGUAAGCAACCGGCUUCGGUGUUCCUUUCUAUAAAUCAUGAAAAGGCAACUUUAGCAUUUUUGGCAUGUAGCACCGUCUACAGUAAAAAUCUAUCAACAGCGACCAAGGCGAGGUGUAGAACGGGACUAAGCGUACUUGGUCGAGCAUCCUCUACCAUCGCUGAAAUUGAAGAACUCGAUGGUUUAUAGAAUCCAUUUUAUAAAUCGUCACGUGUGCAUCUUUCAUACGUAUGGGAUUAUCCUCAGAUAUUGCCUCCAUUAAUUAUGUCAAAGAAAAGGAAUUUAUCUUGUGAUAAAUGGAAGAGGUUGAAGACUA